rnacentral:rRNA from 1 species
GAUGAACGCUAGCUACAGGCUUAACACAUGCAAGUAGAGGGGCAUCAUCGUAUUGAUUUCGGUCAUUACAGAUGGCGACCUGCGGAUGGGUGAGUAACACGUAUCCAACCUGCCCGUCACCGGAGUAUAGCCUCCCGAAAGGGAAAUUAACACUCCGCGACAUCAUUUCGGGGCAUCCCGUUAUGAUUAAAGUUUUACGGUGUCGGAUGGGGAUGCGUCCCAUUAGAUAGUAGGCGGGGUAACGGCCCACCUAGUCGUCGAUGGGUAGGGGUUCUGAGAGGAAGGUCCCCCACAUUGGAACUGAGACACGGUCCAAACUCCUACGGGGGGCAGCAGUGAGGAAUAUUGGUCAAUGGGCGAGAGCCUGAACCAGCCAGGUAGCGUGCAGGAAGACGGCCCUAUGGGUUGUAAACUGCUUUUAUACGGGAAUAAAGUUUGCCACGUGUGGCAUUUUGCAUGUACCGUAAGAAAAAGGAUCGGCUAAUUCCGUGCCAGCAGCCGCGGUAAUACGGAAGAUCCGAGCGUUAUCCGGAUUUAUUGGGUUUAAAGGGAGCGUAGGCGGGAAUCCAAGUCAGUUGUGAAACCCUGCGGCUCAACCGUAGUCGUGCAGUUGAAACUGGAUUUCUUGAGUGCGCACAGGGCAGACGGAAUUUGUGGUGUAGCGGUGAAAUGCUUAGAUAUCACGAAGAACUCCGAUCGCGAAGGCAGUCUGCCGGGGCGCUACUGACGCUGAGGCUCGAAAGUGCGGGUAUCAAACAGGAUUAGAUACCCUGGUAGUCCGCACUGUAAACGAUGGAUACCCGUGGUCGGUUUUUUUUACUCGGUCACCAAGCGAAAGCGUUAAGUAUCCCACCUGGGGAGUACGCCGGCAACGGUGAAACUCAAAGGAAUUGACGGGGGCCCGCACAAGCGGAGGAACAUGUGGUUUAAUUCGAUGAUACGCGAGGAACCUUACCCGGGCUUGAAUUGCAGAGGAAGUCACCGGAGACGGUGAUGUCUUUAUAGUCUCUGUGAAGGUGCUGCAUGGUUGUCGUCAGCUCGUGCCGUGAGGUGUCGGCUUAAGUGCCAUAACGAGCGCAACCCCUUUUUCCGGUUGCCAUCAGGUGAUGCUGGGCACUCCGGAGACACUGCCAUCGUAAGAUGUGAGGAAGGUGGGGAUGACGUCAAAUCAGCACGGCCCUUACGUCCGGGGCUACACACGUGUUACAAUGGCCGGUACAGAAGGCAGCUCCCACGCGAGUGGUUGCGAAUCCCGAAAGCCGGUCCCAGUUCGGACUGGAGUCUGCAACCCCGACUCCACGAAAGCUGGAUUCGCUAGUAAUCGCGCAUCAGCCAUGGCGCGGUGAAUACGUUCCCGGGCCU